AUACUUAUAUUAGAGAGUAAUCAUUUCUUUGUAAUAUAAACAAAGGAGGUUGUUGUUGUGACAAAAGACAUCACUAACACUCUUGGUGGUUUAGUGAACUAAUUUUGAAGACAGUUUGAAAUUCGCUUAAUUAUUAAGCUUUCCCUAUAAGAACUGUAUUCAUAAUUUGAGUUUGAUUCAAUCUAUACUAGUGUCAUUAAUAAAUUACCUAUAACAGAGGUAAUUUAAGUAUUAACAUGUAAGCUAUCGUAAACAUCAUUCAAUUUAUCAUUUUAAUAAUCGGUAAAUUCACUAAAUUUUUUCAUAAUUAAUAACAUCCCAAAAAAUAGAUAGAGAAAUAACUGUAAAAACAUUCCCUUAAUAAUAAGUUACAAAACCGUGAGUCCCUCCCAAGCUCACGGUUU
rnacentral:ncRNA from 1 species